rnacentral:rRNA from 1 species
CAGUAGCCGCGGUAAUACGUAGGUCCCGAGCGUUGUCCGGAUUUAUUGGGCGUAAAGCGAGCGCAGGCGGUUAGAUAAGUCUGAAGUUAAAGGCUGUGGCUUAACCAUAGUACGCUUUGGAAACUGUUUAACUUGAGUGCAAGAGGGGAGAGUGGAAUUCCAUGUGUAGCGGUGAAAUGCGUAGAUAUAUGGAGGAACACCGGUGGCGAAAGCGGCUCUCUGGCUUGUAGCUGACGCUGAGGCUCGAAAGCGUGGGGAGCAAACAGGAUUAGAUACCCGUGUAGUCCCUGUCUCUUAUACA